GAUGAACGCUGGCGGCGUGCCUAAUACAUGCAAGUCGAGCGAACGGACGAGAAGCUUGCUUCUCUGAUGUUAGCGGCGGACGGGUGAGUAACACGUGGAUAACCUACCUAUAAGACUGGGAUAACUUCGGGAAACCGGAGCUAAUACCGGAUGAUAUUUUGAACCGCAUGGUGCAAAAGUGAAAGACGGUCUUGCUGUCACGUAUAGAGGGAUCCGCGCUGCAUUAGCUAGUUGGUAAGGUAACGGCUUACCAAGGCAACGAUGCAUAGCCGAGCUGAGAGAGUGAUCGGCCACACUGGAACUGAGACACGGACCAGACUCCUACGGGAGGCCGCAGUCGCGAAUCUUCCGCAGUGGGCGAAAGCCUGACGGAGCAGCGCCGCGUGAGUGAUGACGGUCUUCCGAUCGUAAAACUCUGUUAUUAGGUAAGAACAUAUGUGUAAGUAACUGUGCCCAUCUUGACGGUACCUAAUCAGAAAGCCCCGGCUAACUACGUG
rnacentral:rRNA from 1 species